ensembl:lncRNA novel transcript, antisense to ADH4, ADH6 & ADH1A
GCUAAGUUGUGCGUUCCAGGGUGCACUCGCCGGCGAGGCUGCACGGCGCCGGUUUCAUUGCUAAAAUCCGACGGACUUGUUGCAGAACUCGUUUUUUUUGUCGGGAAAGGGCUUCCCCGUGUAACUUUACAGCAGUUAUCGUAGAUAAGACUUGCAAAUUACAGAUGUGGACGGUGAGGGAACGGGAAUUUCACUGAAAGCGCCUGAGAACCAGUAAGAGACCUGCAACAGCUUUGUGCUCCACUGGCGAAUGCUUCCUCCCCUAAUACACAUUAUGUGUGCUUGGAGACACAAGGAGUAAGAUACAGCCCCUCAAGGGACUCGUCAUAGGGAGAGGACACAGCUUUGGGAAUAAAGGGGCCACAAAGGAGGAGAGAGGAGUUUGCUGAAACUUCCCAAGCUCCCAUUCCAGCAGUUCCUGAAGGAUUCAUUUCUCUCUGAGGAUCUCAUGAGGUGGCUUAGCAGCUAGAAUCUCUUCCUUAACAGUGGGAAGAACAACUCCUGGAAAUUUAGGUCGACUUUGACUGGAUUUAAAAGAAAGCUGUACAAUUCCACUUCUGUAUAUACAACCAAAGGAAAUGAGAUGUGCAUACCCAUGUUCAAUGAAGCAUUAUUCACAAUAGCCAAAAUGUGGAACCAAUCCUUAAACAAAAGGAAAACAGAAAAUCUGCUCAAGUGGGAAGAAACUAACCCUCAUUGAGUGCCUAGUUAACAUCAGGCACUUUGUACACAUAAUCAAUUGAAUCUUGACCACAACCCUGUGAGGUGAAAAAUGAGAAGAUUAAAUAAGCCAUGGGAAGAUUUUUUAAAAUGACAUGAAACUCCAAGGGUAAAAAGUAGGCUGGGAAAUCUUAGGAUGGUGAACCAUCAUGUUUCCUGAAUGUGAAUCCUGUACCUGGUUUGACUGUAGUCACCCCUUCUCCAACACUCUCCACGAUGCCGGCUGCCUCAUGGCCUAAAAUCACAGGAAGUGGGGUCACCAUGGUACCACUAACCACGUGGUCAUCUGUGCCACAGAUUCCUACAGCCACCAUCUACAGAGUGAAGAGAAGAUGUUUAUAAAAGAUUGUGAGUCUCAGGAUGUUCAACAUGAUCAAUGCCAAAUAAAUAUCAGAAUACUUGGAAGUAAAGUACUAAUAGUAGGAGUUCCUGAUUAUCAGGUGCCUAUGAUGUGACAGGCACAUUGUGGCCUGUGCUCGACCAGGAGACUGGUGAGUCCUUGUGGAUUUCUUCCCUGCUCAAGUGCAUAAAGCAGGUGUAUUGCAUAGCUUUUCCAGGCUGAGAUCAAAGACGGAGAUGUGCCUACCCGCAGAUCCUAGAUGGCCAUGUUUGCAACAGAGGUAAUGAUGAGCAGUGCGAAGAUGUGACUCCAAAGCCUGGAGAAGGACAGACCAGCAUCCCUGCAAGAGAUCCAACUGUCUUCUUUUCCGCAGAGGUCCAUAAUUUACAUGGGCCUGACAAAGAAUACUGUAACUUGCAGAAAUUAUCUUCAGUUCAAAUCCUUCAUUUUGGGGGUUAAAUAACUUGCCCAAGAUGUCGAGGGAGCGGAAAUACUUGCUGGUCUUGCAGCGGCUGUGGAGCCUGGAAUCCUGCCAAGAAGAGCAUGUGUGAGAGAUCAAAAUGUUUGCUUACAUUCCUCCUGUGAAGGGAGUUGGGAAAUAACCUAAGAAGCCCAAUCCAAAAACAAAGAUGUACCAUCCAGUCUUCUCUGUGAGAACCAAACUACAAACCAUCUGAAUGUUCCAAAAGUGUUUUGAUGAUGUAUUGAUGUAUUUUAAAUUAUCCUGAAAAUGUUCUUGGCAGAUGCUUAAACAUGUAAUUACUGAGAUGAUGUAGAAAUACCAAGUGUUUAUUAAAACAAUACAGAGUAAUACAAAUGGUAUGUUUGUCGCAAUAUAAAAGUAUCUAAA